rnacentral:rRNA from 1 species
UGUCGGCGUGCUUAACACAUGCAAGUCGAACGGAAAGGCCCUGCUUUUGUGGGGUGCUCGAGUGGCGAACGGGUGAGUAACACGUGAGUAACCUGCCCUUGACUUUGGGAUAACUUCAGGAAACUGGGGCUAAUACCGGAUAGGAGCUCCUGCUGCAUGGUGGGGGUUGGAAAGUUUCGGCGGUUGGGGAUGGACUCGCGGCUUAUCAGCUUGUUGGUGGGGUAGUGGCUUACCAAGGCUUUGACGGGUAGCCGGCCUGAGAGGGUGACCGGCCACAUUGGGACUGAGAUACGGCCCAGACUCCUACGGGAGGCAGCAGUGGGGAAUAUUGCACAAUGGGCGGAAGCCUGAUGCAGCAACGCCGCGUGCGGGAUGACGGCCUUCGGGUUGUAAACCGCUUUCGCCUGUGACGAAGCGUGAGUGACGGUAAUGGGUAAAGAAGCACCGGCUAACUACGUGCCAGCAGCCGCGGUGAUACGUAGGGUGCGAGCGUUGUCCGGAUUUAUUGGGCGUAAAGGGCUCGUAGGUGGUUGAUCGCGUCGGAAGUGUAAUCUUGGGGCUUAACCCUGAGCGUGCUUUCGAUACGGGUUGACUUGAGGAAGGUAGGGGAGAAUGGAAUUCUGGUGGAGCGGUGGAAUGCGCAGAUAUCAGGAGGAACACCAGUGGCGAAGGCGGUUCUCUGGGCCUUUCCUGACGCUGAGGAGCGAAAGCGUGGGGAGCGAACAGGCUUAGAUACCCUGGUAGUCCACGCUGUAAACGGUGGGUACUAGGUGUGGGGUCCAUUCCACGGGUUCCGUGCCGUAGCUAACGCUUUAAGUACCCCGCCUGGGGAGUACGGCCGCAAGGCUAAAACUCAAAGGAAUUGACGGGGCCCCGCACAAGCGGCGGAGCAUGCGGAUUAAUUCGAUGCAACGCGUAGAACCUUACCUGGGUUUGACAUGGAUCGGGAGUGCUCAGAGAUGGGUGUGCCUCUUUUGGGGUCGGUUCACAGGUGGUGCAUGGCUGUCGUCAGCUCGUGUCGUGAGAUGUUGGGUUAAGUCCCGCAACGAGCGCAACCCUUGUUCACUGUUGCCAGCACGUUAUGGUGGGGACUCAGUGGAGACCGCCGGGGUCAACUCGGAGGAAGGUGGGGAUGACGUCAAGUCAUCAUGCCCCUUAUGUCCAGGGCUUCACGCAUGCUACAAUGGCUGGUACAGAGAGUGGCGAGCCUGUGAGGGUGAGCGAAUCUCGGAAAGCCGGUCUCAGUUCGGAUUGGGGUCUGCAACUCGACCUCAUGAAGUCGGAGUCGCUAGUAAUCGCAGAUCAGCAACGCUGCGGUGAAUACGUUCCCGGGGCUUGUACACACCGCCCGUCAAGUCAUGAAAGUUGGUAACACCCGAAGCCGGUGGCCUAACCGUUGUAGGGGAGCCGUCGAGGGUGGGACUGGUGAU